UACGUAGGGGGCAAGCGUUGUCCGGAUUUAUUGGGCGUAAAGAGCGUGUAGGCGGCCAAGCAGGUCAGCUGUGAAAACUCGAGGCUCAACCUCGAGACGUCGGUUGAAACCGUCUGGCUAGAGUCCGGAAGAGGAGUGUGGAAUUCCUGGUGUAGCGGUGAAAUGCGCAGAUAUCAGGAAGAACACCUAUGGCGAAGGCAGCACUCUGGGACGGUACUGACGCUGAGACGCGAAAGCGUGGGGAGCGAACAGG
rnacentral:rRNA from 1 species